GCCUUACAUGCCAGUCGAGCGGGGGAAGGUAGCUUGCUACUGGACCUAGCGGCGGACGGGUGAGUAAUGCUUAGGAAUCUGCCUAUUAGUGGGGGACAACAUCUCGAAAGGGAUGCUAAUACCGCAUACGUCCUACGGGAGAAAGCAGGGGAUCUUCGGACCUUGCGCUAAUAGAUGAGCCUAAGUCGGAUUAGCUAGUUGGUGGGGUAAAGGCCUACCAAGGCGACGAUCUGUAGCGGGUCUGAGAGGAUGAUCCGCCACACUGGGACUGAGACACGGCCCAGACUCCUACGGGAGGCAGCAGUGGGGAAUAUUGGACAAUGGGGGGAACCCUGAUCCAGCCAUGCCGCGUGUGUGAAGAAGGCCUUAUGGUUGUAAAGCACUUUAAGCGAGGAGGAGGCUACUUUAGUUAAUACCUAGAGAUAGUGGACGUUACUCGCAGAAUAAGCACCGGCUAACUCUGUGCCAGCAGCCGCGGUAAUACAGAGGGUGCGAGCGUUAAUCGGAUUUACUGGGCGUAAAGCGUGCGUAGGCGGCUUAUUAAGUCGGAUGUGAAAUCCCCGAGCUUAACUUGGGAAUUGCAUUCGAUACUGGUGAGCUAGAGUAUGGGAGAGGAUGGUAGAAUUCCAGGUGUAGCGGUGAAAUGCGUAGAGAUCUGGAGGAAUACCGAUGGCGAAGGCAGCCAUCUGGCCUAAUACUGACGCUGAGGUACGAAAGCAUGGGGAGCAAACAGGAUUAGAUACCCUGGUA
rnacentral:rRNA from 1 species